AUAAAUAGACAACGGGGAGAGCACCGAGAAAACAGGUUACGAAAGGUGGCUACUAAUUUCUGCAUUCAUUGGUCAUUCAAGUUGCAAGCACCGAUCCGAUUCACGCAAAAUCCCUACGGACAUCGAUGAGAGGAUUCUGGAGAUAGUGUUACUGAACUCAGGGAAUGGAGACCGGUCAUCUACAGAAAGUGCACAGACACUCUCUGGUUGCUCCUCUUCUUUCUUUUCUGGGCUGGUUUGAAGAAUACCUACACAUUUUGAAUACUGCAUAAGAGGAAGCCAAACUUUGUGAAC
rnacentral:lncRNA from 1 species